GGGGAUUUAGCUCAGCGGCAUAAGCGCCUGCCUUGCAAGCAGGCAGUCGUGAUUUCGAUCCCCA
rfam:Cavia porcellus supercont2_29 genomic scaffold, whole genome shotgun sequence.